AUUGUAAUAUACAGAUUUUAAUUGGAUCAUGAUUCAAACAAACUGUUUACAAAAAUUGAAAUUUUGUUUAGGAAAUUAUGAAUAAAAGCAGAUGGUAUCUGAAAUCGCUUCGAAAUAAUAUGGAGGCGUGUGCACAAGAAUGGGUUAUAUGGGAACAAGAUUAGUCAUGACCUGAUAAUUGUUGAAAUUGAGUGACACAUACUUGAAAUUUACAUUAUUUAUUGUCUGCAUUCAUGUCUGAAUAAAAAUUUCCAUAAUUUUAAAAGA